rnacentral:tRNA from 1 species
ACUUGUAUAGCUUAUUUACAGAGCGUGACACUGAAGAUGUUAAGGAGGUUGGUCUAACCUACGAGUA